ACUCCUACGGGAGGCAGCAGUGAGGAAUAUUGGUCAAUGGAGGGAACUCUGAACCAGCCAUCCCGCGUGGUAGGAAGACGGCCUUAUGGGUUGUAAACUACUUUUAUACAGGAAGAAACGUACCCUCGUGAGGGUGCCUUGACGGUACCUGUAGGAAUAAGCACCGGCUAACUCCGUGCCAGCAGCCGCGGUAAUACGGAGGGUGCGAGCGUUAUCCGGAUUUAUUGGGUUUAAAGGGUCCGUAGGCGGGUUAAUAAGUCAGUGGUGAAAUCCCAUCGCUUAACGAUGGAACUGCCAUUGAUACUGUUAGUCUUGAAUGAGGGUGCAGUGGUUGGAAUGUGUAGUGUAGCGGUGAAAUGCAUAGAUAUUACACAGAACACCGAUUGCGAAGGCAGAUCACUAACCCUAAAUUGACGCUAGGGACGAAAGCGUGGGGAGCGAACAGGAUUAGAUACCCUGGUAGCUACGAG
rnacentral:rRNA from 1 species